UUUACAUAUCUGAUAAUGCUAUAUUAGGCUUUCAUUAUCAUUUAUUAAUACUCUGCAACUCAUAAUAAUAAGUGUAUUACUGUUGUAAUGCAGCCACAACAAUUAUCACAAUAGAUGAUAAGUAUUGCUUUGUCCUGGUUUGUUGUUGUUAGUUUUGGGAGAUUGUUUCGUUUUAGUUUGUUUGAAAAGAUCGAAGCAUGCCGUUUGUGUUUUCCUUGCUAUAGGGUGUUAUUCAAGAACUGGUUGUUUAGUUCCAAUUCUUCCUUUAUAUACCAGUUCAAAUCAGUUUGGUUUUGCGAGAGGUCAAGGUGAUGGGCUCUCAAAAUAUGUCAAGUUUGAAAGAAAUUGCAGCCCUUGUAUACAAGUUCAAAUCAGUUUCAAUAGCUAUUAAUAUGACACAAUCUAUGGAAGUUGUCUGUGAGAUGGUGUGAUUCUUUAGCAGCUCCCCCCAUUAUUUUUGUUUGUAGGUCUGCCAAUGCCACCAUGAUAUCUCUCACUUAUAUUUAGAUUAUAAUAUGUUUCUUCUGACAGCCAAAGCAACUUGGAUAAGUUCAAGUCUGAGGAUUGUAAUAUUCUCCCUUGUACUGACAUAGCUAGAAGGGGACUGGAUAUGAAGUGUUCACUUUGUGUUUAACUUAUUAUUCAAUUGUUUACUAAUCUAUAAUCCUCUUACUGAUAAUGUGCAUAGAAGGCGGCAAUGACAGAUGUCAACUGUUGUGACAUAUGCAUUGCUGCCAUUAUCUUAGUUCCAAUAUCAAUUAUUAGAAGUUAUUUAGUUUGUUUAUCAUGUCACAUGACAGGUAUUUCCUGUUACUCAAAAGAAAUUUUGUGGAUUCAAUCCUUUUACAACGUUUGUGUGCUAUAAAAUUAUUUUAUAAUCUGAGGUUCUACACAAACUUAUAAGCUAUGAGGUUUGGCACAUCUCUCGCUCUCAAACAUAGGAAAUUCACACAAAGGUUCAAGUUAUUGACAUCUAUCUAGUCUCUUUUUAAUCCACACAAAGGCCGUACAAAAUGCUGCUUAUAAGCUGAUUGGCAUGUUGUCUAUAUAGUGUGCAAUAUGUCACAAUCUACGGAAGUUGUUCAUGAGUGUUGGAAAAGUGAACUUCACAUGUCUAUAUAACUGGUUUAUAUAGAAUUAGAAGAGUCUGCAACUCUGCAUCAAUAUACUUUGUUGGAACUGAAGUUUUACAUUGAGAAAAGUAUUAUUGACUAGACAUUCACAUAUUCAUUAUUGUGUUGGUUCUCAGUGUGUGUUAGAAUUGUAAUUAGUUUGUAGUUAGUUUAGUUACUUAUUUCUUCAUGAGUGAUAUUAUACCCCUUAAAUUAGUUUGUAAAUUUGUUCUUAUGUAAUUUAAAUUGGGCAAAAUAAAUUACUCUCAUUUGGAUAUUUG